rnacentral:lncRNA from 1 species
GGGAGGUAAUCCCAAUUCCAUUUAAAAAAUACUGUUAUAUACAUGUUUGAUUACCUCCCUUACACUACUUGAAAAUUUUGUAUUAAGAAAUGGUGAUUGUCCUGAGAUGAUUAGCUGUAAUUUUUUUUAAAAAGUUACUAUUGAUUGAUUUGAUUUUAACCAUGACUGUAUGUCAUUUUAUAUUUUAAUAUUUAGAGGGAAAAGAGGGGGGGGGAACAAUUUUUCUCAUUUUAGAUUUCAGAAAAUUAAAAAGAAAAUUUCUCCAAAUAAUUUUUUCAGGGGAUUAAUAUUCAACAGCAUAGUGAAUACUGAGUACUCAAAGGCAAAAAAAAAAUAAGUUCAUUAGACUACAUUCAUUCUGUGUCACAAUAAUGAUAAACCUAUGCUGUGUCAACAAAAUCAUAAUCCAAAUUCAGAGCUGUAUCCAGCUUGAAUGUUGUGUCCAUACUUGCCCCAACUGUUCAGGGUUUGAUCCCUGCGGAGCAUCUGGUUUAAUAUCCUGUGAUACUUUUUUAACCAUAUAUCAACACAAUUUGAUCUGAACUUUCCUGGGGUAUACACCAG